rnacentral:rRNA from 3 species
CUCCCUGAGACUUAAAGUCUCCUGAAGGAACGUUGAAGACGACGACGUUGAUAGGCCGGGUGUGUAAGCGCAGCGAUGCGUUGAGCUAACCGGUACUAAUGAACCGUGAGGCUUAACCUUACAACGCCGAAG